GCCUUGCAGCUCACUCUAAGUAGAAUAUUAGACUCUUAAUUUCAGGGUCGUGGGUUUGAGCCCCACAUUGGGCA